rnacentral:rRNA from 1 species
AUUGAACGCUGGCGGCAGGCCUAACACAUGCAAGUCGAGCGGAUGAAGUGAGCUUGCUCACGGAUUUAGCGGCGGACGGGUGAGUAAUGCCUAGGAAUCUGCCUGGUAGUGGGGGAUAACGUUUCGAAAGGGACGCUAAUACCGCAUACGUCCUACGGGAGAAAGCAGGGGACCUUCGGGCCUUGCGCUAUCAGAUGAGCCUAGGUCGGAUUAGCUAGUUGGUGAGGUAAUGGCUCACCAAGGCGACGAUCCGUAACUGGUCUGAGAGGAUGAUCAGUCACACUGGAACUGAGACACGGUCCAGACUCCUACGGGAGGCAGCAGUGGGGAAUAUUGGACAAUGGGCGAAAGCCUGAUCCAGCCAUGCCGCGUGUGUGAAGAAGGUCUUCGGAUUGUAAAGCACUUUAAGUUGGGAGGAAGGGCAGUAAGCUAAUAUCUUGCUGUUUUGACGUUACCGACAGAAUAAGCACCGGCUAACUCUGUGCCAGCCGCCGCGGUAACAC